CCCACCUCCACCUUAAAGGCAAUCAUCCUACAAGUACCCUACACAAAACAUAAGGGACAAUACAUUGUACUAGGAUUAUAAUUUGCAGUCUACUGAUGCUCUCUGCCAGCAGCGGUAUCAUCUCUGUGGGGCUGGUCAUUACAGAGAUAUGGCAUCUCUAUGACAAGAUUAGGUUAACUGUGUGAGAAGAAUAAGACUUGUGCCUGUCCAUCAUCAGGAAGUUGAGCACGAUAUUUGGGGAACAUGCACACACAGAGGAAAACAGAGAUGAUUGCAGAAUCCGUCGCUCUUCUGUGUCUGGUCAAUGGCUAAAGGGAGGAAGCCACUCGCCCGUUAUGACUUAGACAAGACUGUCCACUCUUCCUCGUGAAUCCCACACGACUCAGGAUCACUCCCCUUGUGUACCUGCCUCUAUAAAACCCAAGCCCCUCCUUUUGAGCCCUUCCUCAUUAACAACUGUUCUCCUUCUUGCAAUGGCCUGGAUAAAAUAUCUCCUCAACUGUCCAGGGCAUUUUGUUUUUGACACAAUAAAUAUAAUGAACAAG